rnacentral:rRNA from 1 species
GACGAACGCUGGCGGCGUGCUUAACACAUGCAAGUCGAACGAAGAGCGAUGGAAGCUUGCUUCUAUCAAUCUUAGUGGCGAACGGGAGAGUAACGCGUAAUCAACCUGCCCUUCAGAGGGGGACAACAGUUGGAAACGACUGCUAAUACCGCAUACGAUCUAAUCUCGGCAUCGAGGAUAGAUGAAAGGUGGCCUCUACAUGUAAGCUAUCACUGAAGGAGGGGAUUGCGUCUGAUUAGCUAGUUGGAGGGGUAACGGCCCACCAAGGCGAUGAUCAGUGGCCGGUCUGAGAGGAUGAACGGCCACAUUGGGCCUGAGACACGGCCCAGACUCCUACGGGAGGGAGCAGUGGGGAAUCUUCCGCAAUGGACGAAAGUCUGACGGAGCAACGCCGCGUGAGUGAUGACGGCCUUCGGGUUGUAAAGCUCUGUUAAUCGGGACGAAAGGCCUUCUUGCGAAUAGUGAGAAGGAUUGACGGUACCGGAAUAGAAAGCCACGGCUAACUACGUG